GCCUCCCUCAAGAUGAGUUUUCCCAUGAAGCCCGUUGAAGACUACGACGUUGAUAGGCAAGGUGUGGAAGCGCAGUAAUGCGUGAAGCUAACUUGUACUAAUUGGCUGAUUGUCUUGACCAUAUAAUCUGAGUGACUUCAGAU
rnacentral:rRNA from 1 species